UGAUCUCCAAUUAAGGAUAAA
ensembl:piRNA 21ur-589 ncRNA